AACAUUUGACUCACAAGUACCACACAAUAUUCACAAUUCACCCAUUUAUAUUAACAUAGAGGUCACUGGCACUAUCUUUCUUUUAUUAUUCAAGUGCCCUCACACAACAAAGGAAGGGAGUUUCACACAAUAAAAUUUAAGAACACUUAGGAAUUCAAGAUAGAAAGAACUCACUCACUCUCAAAAAUAACAUUCAUAUGCCACUAAACAUGCACCAUAAGCUUUCCCGUAGUGUACUACUCCACUAAUCAAGCUCAUUCAAUCUAGGAUCAAUUAGGACUUUAUUUCGUUGUAACGUAGACUAUGAGACGGGUAGGAUACAUUUAGAUAUAAGAGUGACUAUACCUCCCUAAGCACUUUCAUACAUAUACUUUAACAUUCAAACUCCAUACUUAUGUCAAAACAAACUCCACCUUCACAUCAAUGUAUAUUAUCACAUACCUCUUUAAGCACAAUUACAUCAAGAGUCACCACUUAUUAAGGAAUAGUUUUGUUUCACAGCAAUACAACUAUUUUUUUUCAAUUCAAGUGGCUUCUUCUUGUUCAAAACAGUGUAUCGUUUUCCUUAUUUCAUUAGUUCCACUCAAAAGCCAAUCCAACCACCCCACACGUUAAUGUUUACAAAGUUCAUAACAAUUCAAGUGCUCAUGAAAGGUGAAAAGGUUCAAAUAUAUGUUUAAUUCAAACAAUUGGGUAAGGCUUGUAAUGUGGUUGCCAAAGAAACAAGAUUACAGGCUCAAAGGGAUUAACUAUGAUACAUGACAAUUAGGUGGGUAAAAUAUACAUAUUUGGCUCAACAAAGAAAACGCCUAUAUCACUUCCAAGAUUGAACAAAAUUACUAUUUUGCUUUACAAACACACAGGGCAAGUUCUAGGCAUCCAAUGCAAUGCACAUAAUAACAACAAACCUUACAUGCACAUGGCCUAUGACUCACUUAGGAUUGGUUUUAUAAAGACACUCUAGUAAAAUUUAAGCAAAGUUAAGAACAUACAAUUUAAGGUACUUAUACUAGAGUCAAAAACUGAGCCUAAACGUCACAACAAAAGUACUCACUAUUCUCAAGGCAUAACAAAAUCAAGAGAUAUUACUUCAAUUCAAAAAACAACACAAUGGCUCCUAUUCCUAAAAAAAUUAACUACACCCGGUUCAAAUAAAACCCUUGGAAAAGAACCAUGACACAAAUAAAAACAAAGGGUAAUUGCUACACUACCGAACAAAAAAAAUCUUUUUGUUUUUUUCUUUAGACUUAAAUCCCUCAAAAAAAAUUUCUAAUAGAUCUAUCGUUGAAAAAAUUCCAAUCUUUUCUAUUUAAAAAAAUAUUCAAUUAAACUAACACAACUAAAAUAGCAUAGAAAGUCACCCAGACAAUCUCCUCACCCCAUACUUAAAACAAGGCAUUGUCCCCAAUGCAAACCAUAACUAAUAAAAAGGGUAAAAGAGACUACCUGAUAGGCCAAAGGCCGAAGCACUAACAGCUCAUGGGAUACUCAGACUUCUCCCAAGAUUGGUCCUUUGUGCGGGUGCUCACACUUAGUUCUAACCAUUUGGUUUGUUAUUGCAUCCUUCCAAUACAUUUUCUUUCCGUACUCCUAGAAAAUAAAAAUUAACACUACAAAAAUAAUACAAUUAAAAAAAUUAAUACAAAAAAAUAAAAAAAAAUAGUAAAGCUGGGUUGCCUCCCAACAAGCGCUUUCAUACAAUCUCCUCACUCCAUACAUAAAUUGCGCAUUGUCCCCAAUGCACAUCAUAACUAAUAAAAGGGUUAAAGAGACUCCCUGGUAGGCCAAAGGCCGAAGCACUAACAGCUUAUGGGGUUCUCAAACUUCUCCCAAGCUCGGUCCUUCAUGUGCGUAGCUCAAACUUAGUUCCAAUCAUUUGGUUUGUUGUUGCAUCCUUCCAAUAUCUUUGCUUUUCAUGCUCCUAGAAAAUAAAAAAUUGAUACUACAAAAUAAUACAAUUAAAAAAAAUAAAAAAUAAAUAAAAUAAGCAAUGAAGUUGGGUUGCCUCGCAACAAGCGCUUGAUUUAAUGUCGCGGUACGAUUUGAAUCACUUUUUGCCUCCACCUUGAGCUUAUG
rnacentral:lncRNA from 1 species